UACAGAGGGUGCGAGCGUUAAUCGGAAUUACUGGGCGUAAAGCGCGCGCAGGCGGUUCUCCAAGUCAGUGGUGAAAGCCCGGAGCUCAACUCCGGAACUGCCAUUGAAACUGUUGAACUUGAGGACGAGAGAGGUGAGUGGAAUUCCCAGUGUAGAGGUGAAAUUCGUAGAUAUUGGGAAGAACACCAGUGGCGAAGGCGGCUCACUGGCUCGUUUCUGACGCUCAGGCGCGAUAGCGUGGGGAUCAAACAGG
rnacentral:rRNA from 1 species